UGAGGUUGUUUCUGGAUGAGAUCUACUUUUGAGUCGGUAGACUGAGUAAAGCAGAUUGCCCUCACCAGUGUGGGUGGGCCUCAUCCAAUCCACUGAAGGCCUGAAAAGAACAAAAAGGCUGACCCUCCCACAAGUAAGAGGGAAUUCCUCCUGCCUGCCUGCCUUCAAGCUGGGACGUUGAUCAGUUUUUUCUUGCCAUCUGACCCAAACAGAAACAUCGGCCCUUUCUGGGUCUCCAGCCUACCAACCUUCGGGCUGGAAUCACACCAUCGGUCUCUAGCUUGCUGACUACAGAUCUUAGGACUUGUCAGCCUCCAUCAUCACGGGGAGAAACUGAUAUCUGGAGAGAGAGACAGCAGAACCCAGGUGCCCGACUCCCUGGCCUCACCCGUUGGUCUCACCUGCCUGGCAUUUAUUCCAGAAUGAACUCAGAAUGACAGGAGUUCUGGUCUCUGAUCCAACACUUAUGAUGUGACCCCAGAACACAAACCAGAGGUUGGAGGUGGAGCAGCCAUUUUGAGGCCAUGAGGCAGCAAGCAUGAGGUCAGAGCCUACACACUAAGAAUGGGAAAAGAAAAAGAUAGCGUCAGGGUCCCUGCUGGGAGCCAUUGCAAUAACACUGGGCCAUCUAUUCCAGACUUCUGGUGAGGACCAUGAGGUCGUGCGACUUACAGCUGGGGAGGACACUGCCGCCAACCCAUUCAAGCUCCUCUUGUCAGCAGUGGGCCGUGUGACCUCGACAAGUCACCUCUCUGGGCCUCAGUUCCCACCACCGGAAGCUUCUCUCCAUGGAACAAGAGAAGGAUUCAUCAGGAAGCCAGUGUGGAAGAGUUUGAGGAAAGCCUAAGAGGAAGAGGAAGAGACAUCGCCGGUUCCGUGCCCGCAGAAAGCUCCUGGGUUCCAGAAGAUCAGCUGGAGUCCCUAUCCCUUCUCAGGCCCCCAAGCGGAGGUGGCCAGGGUUGGGCCAGGCAUGGCUGUCCACUCCCCCACUGACUGGUGGGACUUUUAUUGGAGGCGGGUCAGUGGGGCACCCACCAGCCCAGACUCGGGGCCGGGCCUCCCACGCCCAAACACUGGCACUUCCUCUUGUAGCUUUCCCUGCCUCAGUUGCCCCAUCUGUAAAAAAGGGUAAUAAUAGUAUCUGCCCCCCGAGGUUGUGGGGAGGAUUCACGGAGUAAAUACAUGUGAAAGCAUUUGAAGGUGCCUAGCACAGACGCUCUCGGCAGAUGUUGGUUAUUACUUGUGUUGGUUCUAGUCGAGGAUCUUUGAGAUACAACUACUGCUUACAGUCUUACAGGGAGAGAAGACAGGGGUACCCCGAUGCUCAGGAGAAGAAGGGAGGAACUGCCACCCUGGCUUGUAAAGAUGGAAACUGAGGUUAAGUGAGUUGCCCGCAGUCACACAGCUAAUAAGUAACACAACUGCAACUCAGACCAGGUCAUCUGACUUGAGUCUCCCGUCCUUCCUGGUCUCCAUGGACAGAGCUGAGGACCAGGGUCCAGGGCUCCUGGCCGUCUCUGAGAGGGCCCCCAGGCUUCAAAGUCUCAGCCAAGGAUAGAGGAAGGAGGAUAGACCUUCCCAGUACACCCACAGUAGAUUCCUCUGCCCCUCACUGGCCCCUGCUUCACUACAGAGGCUCAAGCCCCCUCCCCUCCCUGGUAUUUUUUGGUGACCUAGGGAAAUAUAUGUGGGUUACACAACUUUUAGCACCCUCAUAGCCCAUUCUCUAUAACAUGAUACGUGUCCUUUGUGGUAAAGAGGGACGUGUCUAACACAACAUUCCAACUCUGUUACCUGAGGAUGUGCGACAAGGGAGCUGAUCCUGCAUCAGUUUGGGUCUGAUCCAGGAGAGGCAGCCUGGAGCAGUGCAGAGUGACAGCCUGCGACAGCGGCAUGUCCCCACCCAAGACAUAUAUCUGCCACCCUCCUCUGCCUGUGAGAACGCACUAUCAUCUAUGUCUCUCUGCAGCCGGGGCAAUUUGUGAAGCUUUACUUUCUUUGUUUUAUUAAAACUACAGGAGUUUCUUUUUAGUUUUCCAAAUAUAAAAUAAUAUUCAAGUACUGAAUAUGCUGGUCUAAAAAACACCUGUCCCAGCUUCCCCACUCCCAGAUUUCGACAUACACACAGAGGUUAACUUGCCACCAAUGAGCAGGUGCCCCCAGCUGCAUGGCCAGCCGGAGUGCCAGGGGCAGGCUCAGAGAGCUAACGCGAGUCUUGCUAGGGACCCCACCCUGUUUCUAAUAAAUGUCUUGGCCAGAACCAGGGCCCAGGAUGCCAUAGAAGGCGCCAUUCCGGACUCUGGUAAACGGCAGAGACUGAUGGAUGGGAGGUUGGAGGCGCCAAGAGAAAUGGGGGCGCCAGCUCAUUUCUGAGGAUUUGGCUUCCCCCACGCAUCCAAAAGCCCAGACGCAGCAGGUGGAAUGGUGUCCACACACCAAACCAGGUCUCCAGGGAGCCAGGAGGGCCUGUCCCGAGGGCUGCCCACUGCUGCCCCCACUCACUGUUGCGGGCGCGGGCUGGGCGCUCAACCUGUCCCUCUCGGAACUCUGACCCGUCUUGGCUUCUCGACUCUGAGGUUUCCCCUCCCAGCAGAUGGGUCUCACGUCACUAGCUCCUUGCCCUCCAAGAGCGAGGAGUCCAUUGAAGCCAUCCUGAGGCUCCUUCACCAGUCCCAGGGGCAUCCUUCCUGUCAACGCUCGAGUAGUAAGUUCUACUACGAUCCAGACACCCUGCAUUUGCAAACGUGUGCUCUGUUGUUCCUCACAGACGCCCAUGCGGUAAUUGAUAUACCCGUUUUACUGGAAAGGAAACUGAGGAUCAGAGAGAUUCAACAAGAAGUUUGUGCCGAAUGCCCCCACCCGCCAUACCCCAUUCUCCAGCACACCAUCUGUAACAGGCUAGGCACUCGAUAGACAUCUGAAGAAGGAACAGUAAAUGGACUCCUGGUAUGUCAGCCCUGAGCAGAGGGGGCAGCGAGGAGAAGAAAAGGAGGUUACCACAAGACAUUUGGGGACAUCACAACAACAUGAGAGAUGGGGCAGACACCGCAGCCUCGUGAGUGUAGAGCUGGGGGGUAUUUGGGAGAACAUGUUUAGUUGCAAGUGACAGAACCCCGAAUCAAUUACCUUAAGCCAAAGAAAAUGGAGGCAUUUAAUUGAUAUAAUGGGACAGCUUGGGGAGCUGGUCUCAGGCACAGCUGGAUCCAAGAUCUGGAAUGAUUGAGGCCCUUGGGCCUCCCUCCUGUCUCUUAGUCUGCUGUUCUUCUCUGCUUCUUGACCCUCCUACUUCGACAGGCUCUGUUCCUGUGGCAGAAUGUGGCGGCUGGCAGCCCCUCGGUCUCACCCUCCAGCCCAUGUGCCAGGUGGCCACACGCCUGCCCCGUCAGUGCCAGCUGGAAUGCUCCAGGAGGAGCCUUGGGACUAGCAGAGAGGGAGGAGGACAGUUUUUGACCAGGACUGUGCCACCUGAUGACCCUGUGGCUCUGACCUUUGCCCCCUCCCACUCCAUACACCAGAGCAGCUGCAGGCCUGUUUCCGCCCAGAGGCCCCUCUAUCUCCCUCCUGCUCCUUCCCUCUCCCCUCCUCCUCACUCCCAGCCCCGCUAUCUCCCUGCCUCAUAAAAUCACUCACUGUUUCCUCAUAGACUAACUCAGAAAUAACACAAACCAUAACAUAGCCCAGGAAAACGCUCCUUGUUGGAAACCACAGCCGCUUGCUAUGGCAGAAGCUGCAAUUAGUAGUUUGAGAUGGAUAAAAAACUGAUUUAUGAAGCAAAUCUCCACUAUAAAAUUCUAAAUGCAAAAGAAUUGAUCUCUAUGAAAAUAAUUUCAGCAAAAUGGAAACGGAAACAUCAGAAAUGGUUUAACUGUGCCGUAUCGAAAAUUGAUAAAGGGAUUAAAUCGGCUUAAUGGAGUUCCUUGUGGAAUUCUUGUACUUUCCAGAUGAAAAUUCAUCCCUGUUGGGUAAUUCUGAUAAAAUGCUUGCAUUCAGAAUGUCCUUGGGGUCAAAAUGUCCACAGGAGCAGAAGAGUUGGGUCAAAAUGUCCCAACCCCUGACCAAGGGGUUGGGGUUUUAUAAU